UACGAAGGGUCCGAGCGUUGUCCGGAUUUAUUGGGCGUAAAGAGCUCGUAGGCGGUUCCGUAAGUCAGAUGUGAAAACUCAGGGCUCAACCCGGAGACGCCAUCUGAUACUGCGGUGACUGGAGUCUGGUAGGGGAUCACGGAAUACCUGGUGUAGCGGUGGAAUGCGCAGAUAUCAGGAGGAACACCGAUGGCGAAGGCAGGUCUCUGGGCCACUACUGACGCUGAGAAGCGAAAGCGUGGGGAGCGAACAGG
rnacentral:rRNA from 1 species